ACGGCUGAGUAACGCGUAGGGAUCUGCCCACCGGUGGGGAAUAACGGCCCGAAAGGGUCGCUAAUACCGCAUACGACCACCUUUCGGGGUGAGGAAAGCCGUAAGGCGCCGGUGGAGGAACCUGCGUCCGAUUAGCUAGUUGGUGGGGUAACGGCCUACCAAGGCGACGAUCGGUAGCUGGUCUGAGAGGAUGACCAGCCAGACUGGGACUGGGACACGGCCCAGACUCCUACGGGAGGCAGCAGUUAGGAAUUUUGGGCAAUGGCCGCAAGGCUGACCCAGCAACGCCGCGUGGGGGACGAAGGCCUUCGGGUUGUAAACCCCUUUUCCCAGGGACGAUGAUGACGGUACCUGGGGAAUAAGCCCCGGCUAACUACGUGCCAGCAGCCGCGGUAAUACGUAGGGGGCGAGCGUUGUCCGGAUUCAUUGGGCGUAAAGCGCGCGUAGGCGGCUUCGCAAGUCGGCCGUGAAAUCUCCGGGCUCAACUCGGAGGGGUCGGGCGAGACUGCGAGGCUCGAGGUGGGCAGAGGGCAGUGGAAUUCCGGGUGUAGUGGUGGAAUGCGUAGA
rnacentral:rRNA from 1 species